CUCUUUGUAGCUUAGUGGUAAAGUACUGGUGCGUAAAACCAGGAGCCCGGGUUUGAUUCCGGCGACGGAA
rnacentral:tRNA from 1 species